GGAGAGGUGGUAGAGCGGUCUAUUGCGUCGGUCUUGAAAACCGAAGAGGCGCAAGCCUCCGUGGGUUCGAAUCCCACCCUCUCCG
rnacentral:tRNA from 1 species